AUCCAGCUGAUGAGUCCCAAAUAGGACGAA
rnacentral:hammerhead_ribozyme from 1 species